rnacentral:rRNA from 1 species
UACAGAGGUCCCGAGCGUUGUUCGGAUUCACUGGGCGUAAAGAGUGUGUAGGCGGUGUUCUAAGUCUGGUGUGAAAUCUCCCGGCUCAACUGGGAGGGUGCGCUAGAAACUGGAAUGCUAGAGGAUGGGAGAGGUAAGCGGAAUUCCUGGUGUAGCGGUGAAAUGCGUAGAUAUCCGGAAGAACACCGGUGGCGAAGGCGGCCUGCUGGGCUAUGGCUGACACUGAGGCGCGACAGCGUGGGGAGCAAACAGG